rnacentral:lncRNA from 1 species
AAAAGAUUCAGUUUUUAAUUUGAAUUUGCUUUUCUUUACUGGGAAGAGGAAAAAUAAAUAAAUAAAAAACACAAAUUAAUUGGCCCUGCUUUGCACAGAAGGAAUGAUUAAUCUCCUGCAUGCAGGAGCAUCUGUCUACUACUCCUGCCUGAAUUCCUCAAAAGGCUAAGAGUGUUUCUAAUGGUCAUUUAAAUAAUAAAUGCCACUACACUCAUUAGGGGUGUAUCAGCCGUUCGUUUUCUGCUCUGGUGCUUGUUGUAUUCUAUUAAUAUUUAUUGAAUUCAAGGAAAUUCAUUCUGAGCUACUGGUCUACAUUUCUUUUCAAGGUCACCAAAUAUAAAUAUUUUAUUUAUCUAAUUUAGAAAAACGACAUCAGAUGCCAUGCAGCAAACAUGACAAGAGUAUGAAUUAGCGGAAAGCUUCCCUGGGGAAAUGUAUCCAGGUUCCAGUAAUGGAUAAUUAUAAAUCCAAUAGCUUCUCUCCUACCAGGGUUGCAUUGCAUACUUGCUGUGUAUGCAUAGCCCAGGAAGGUCCUCUUUCUUCCCCACCAGUAAGUAAUGAGACAGAGAAGAACCUGAUGAAAUGCUGUGUUCUCAAAGUUCCUCUGAUGAGGAGGAGCCUGAAUAGCCCCGUCAUGAGAUCGCUGUGUGACAGAUGA